ACUCCCCAGCUUUUAGGCUACUUUCAAUUAAGAGUGACUACGAGUCACAAUAACAGGGGUACUCUCGCAGCACCGCACCAGUGAACACUUCAUAAGGCAUUAAUGAGAAUAAUUACAAUUAAUUUGAAGAUAUAUAAACCAGCAGCUACGAUGCAGCUGCACGCAAAAUGCCGAUUAAAUGUUCUAUUCUAUUGAUAUUAGGCUACGCAUCAAUGCAUACAAAUACACAGUCAACAUUAAACAACUAAAUAUUGUGGAACACGCAGUUAAAACUAAAUGUACAUAGACGUGGACGUGCUCUGCCACCCAGCUCGCGACACUCUCCGUGCGGCUCUCUGGCUCGCGCUGCUUCUGCUCUGACCCCGCUUCGUCGUCUCCGCUCUGCGCAGGCGCUGUUGCAGCGACACCGGGUGGGAUGCUGGCUGCAAAAAAUGGACCGUUUUUUUUUGCCAAAUUGGAUACUGUCGGAAUGUUCAGAAAUGUGCGGCGGCACUCUUCGGCAGUCUUGAGAUAGAGCAGUGGUUCUCAAACUCGGUCCUGGGGGACCCCUGUGUAUGCUGGUUUUCAUUCCAACCUCAACAGCAAUCCCAGGCUGCUCCCGGAUCAGACGUUCUCUUCUGCAGGGGGGGCGAGAGCCGAAUCCGCUCCCGGCGGAAGGGAAUCCCGAAAGUCAGAGCCUCGUCCGGCCCGCGCCAAGGGCGGGAGGGGCCUUGGCUCCAGCCUCGUUUCGAUUGGUGCCAAGUAACGAAACCACAGGUUUAGUCGCCAAGGAAACCACUGACAGAAAUGCUGUGUACGGGACAGAUUGUGGCAGUUCUGGUUUUGAAUCAUUACUGUUUCUUUCUUCUUUAAAUAAAAAUCAAAGGUCAAUUAAGGGUUUUCCGAGGAGUUCAACAGGCAUUCCCCCAUUUUGUACAUCACUUCAAAUGACAGAGUAUCAGCCCAGUACAGGGAGUAAAAUCCGUGGUCCACACAAAUAGGGGUUUUGCAACGCUUACGAAUAACAUUUAGAUACAUGCAUACGCUGCGGAUGGCGCUCCCUUGCCUUGAGGGCUGAGGACGUGGGCACUUGAGCAAUUUCAGCACGCUAUGCCGAUAAGAGGCCCGGCAGAUGGUUCAUGAUGACUCCCGCAAUAAACCCACGAGUCACAGCGGCUGCCACAGACAUUAGGGGGCUUUACCGAGCAUCUGAACAUUCACUCAGGCGUCCUCAUCAAUUUUCACACUAGAUAAGGAAAGACGAGCCAGCAAUGUCUUUCGUAGGAGGAAUCUUUUCUUUUAAAACUACACAUUUAUGUAUGUGUAUAUGCAUACGUAUAUACCAAGUGGUCUCCAACCCUGGUCCUGGAGAGCUACAGGGUCUGCUGGUUUUCGUUUCCACCUUAAAAUCAGCACCCAGUUGAGACCCAAGACAC